UACGAAGGGGGCUAGCGUUGCUCGGAAUCACUGGGCGUAAAGCGCACGUAGGCGGACUCUUAAGUCGGUGGUGAAAUCCUGGAGCUCAACUCCAGAACUGCCUUCGAUACUGAGAGUCUCGAGUCCGGGAGAGGUGAGUGGAACUGCGAGUGUAGAGGUGAAAUUCGUAGAUAUUCGCAAGAACACCAGUGGCGAAGGCGGCUCACUGGCCCGGUACUGACGCUGAGGUGGCGAAA
rnacentral:rRNA from 1 species